CAGGGAAUCUUGCGCAAUGGGCGAAAGCCUGACGCAGCGACACCGCGUGGGGGAUGAAGGCUUUCGGGUUGUAAACCCCUUUUGCCAGGGAAGAAGAUCUGACGGUACCUGGCGAAUAAGGCCCGGCCAACUACGUGCCAGCAGCCGCGGUAAAACGUAGGGGCCAAGCGUUGUCCGGAAUUAUUGGGCGUAAAGGGCGCGUAGGCGGCCCGGUAAGUCUCUUGCGAAAGCUCCCGGCCCAACCGGGAGAGGUCAAGGGAAACUACCAGGCUUGAGGACGGCAGAGGAAGGUGGAAUUCCCGGUGUAGCGGUGGAAUGCGUAGAUAUCGGGAGGAACACCAGCAGCGAAGGCGACCUUCUGGGCCGUUUCUGACGCUGAGGCGCGAGAGCGUGGGGAGCAAACCGG
rnacentral:rRNA from 1 species